rnacentral:tRNA from 1 species
UCAGUUGUGGCUCAGUGGUGGAGCACUUGCCUCCCAUGCGCAAGGCGCUGAGUUCAAUCCUCAGCACCUCAU